rnacentral:rRNA from 1 species
AUUGAACGCUGGCGGCAGGCCUAACACAUGCAAGUCGAACGAGUGGCGGACGGGUGAGUAAUGUCUGGGACACUGCCUGAUGGAGGGGGAUACCUACUGGAAACGGUAGCUAAUCCCGCAUACCAUCGGAUGUGCCCAGAUGGGAUUAGCUAGUAGGUGGGGUAAAGGCUCACCUAGGCCACGAUCCCUAGCUGGUCUGAGAGGAUGACCAGCCACACUGGAACUGAGACACGGUCCAGACUCCGACGGGAGGCAGCAGUAGGGAAUAUUGCACAAUGGGCGCAAGCCUGACGCAGCCAUGCCGCGUGUGUGAAGAAGGCCUUCGGGUUGUAAAGUACUGUCAGCGGGGAGGCGGUACCCUCAGAAGAAGCACCGGCUAACUACGUGCCAGCAGCCGCGGUAAUUC